rnacentral:lncRNA from 1 species
AUGGAUAAAGAACAAGUGGUUGAUCUACACCUCAAACUUUCUCGUUUAGAAAAACAGAAGGAAAAAGUAACAAAUUCCACAGAAUUGCAGCAUCAGUUAGAUAAAACAAAGCAACAGCAUCAAGAACAACAAGCUCUUCAGCAAAGCACUACGGCAAAACUUUGAGAAGCUCAGAAUGAUUGGGAAAAAGUGCUUCGUCAAUUUGGUGAUAAGGACCAAAAGAUCCAGAACCUUGAAGCCUUAUUACAGGAGAGUAAAGAAAAUAUUUCUUUCCUAGAAAAGGAAAGAGAAGAUUUUAUGCAAAAACUCAGGCUGGUGAAGGAGAGACCGCUGUUCUUAAUCAGUUGCAGGAAGAAAACCAUAUAUUACAGGAACAAGUAAGCUUGUCUAGUGUAUUCUAUUUCUAAAAUUUAUUUUUAAUCUCUCUAAAUCUUACAAAGUGCUUUAUGUAAAUGAUUCUGUUAUUUUAGUGCUUGUAAAAUUAUUAUGUAUUUCUGAAAAAAACCGUCUCAUUUACCUUAGAGGUGGGUUGCUAUUGCAGUGAAAAUAAGUUAUUUACCAUGAUUUGAUAAAGGAAAUCUCAGUUCACACCCCAGGAUGUAACUUAUUACCUGUGUGACCAUAAGCAAAUCAUUUAACCAUGUUAACUCAUUGGAAAAGUAUAGUUAGUUCACACUGGGAAGUUAGACUUACUUCUUGGCAUUUUGUGAUGUUUUGAAAAGGAAAAGUAAGGAACAGAAUAUAUUUAUAAACUAUAUCAGGUGUUAGUUAUUUCUGUGUAUUGCUUAAUAUCCAGACGUAGUGGUUAUACAUAUAUUUGAUAAUGUACAUGUCUUUGGGAUAUAUAGUUAAUAACAAUUUUGAUAAGCAGACUUCUUAUUUUAACAUUUGUAUGUUAGUUUAAGUGAAACAUAAAAUUUAUUAGCUCAAUAUGUUUUCAAACUGUAAAGCAUUUAGUGUCACUUUUGGGAAGAAUUGCCCAAUAGGUGAAUCAUAAUUAUCUAAAUGAAAAAGUUUUAAAAGUAUCAGUAGGCCAUAUCACUUUUCUAAUUUAGGUAUUAGAAUAUAACACAAAACUUUUUUCUGCAUUUCAAAGUUAGCCUUGGCUACCAGUUUUAUGAGGAAUUCUUUAGCCUAGUUUUUAGUUGGAAGUUGCAUACAACGUAACAUUGCAUGUUAUACAAAUGUCAGAAAAGCCUAUACAAUUUUUUAAAAAGAGUAGGUAAAAAUAAAUCUAUGUCCUUCUGCUUCUAGCUGUGUUGG